UACGUAGGCGGUUAUGUAAGUCAGAUGUGAAAGCCCCGGGCUUAACCUGGGAACUGCAUUUGAAACUGCAUGACUAGAGUGUAUGAGAGGUUAGUGGAAUUCCAGGUGUAGCGGUGAAAUGCAUAGAUAUCUGGAGGAACACCAGUGGCGAAGGCGACUAACUGGCAUAACACUGACGCUGAGGUACGAAAGCGGUGGGGAGCGAACA
rnacentral:rRNA from 1 species